AUUGAACGCUGGCGGCAGGCCUAACACAUGCAAGUCGAACGAGUGGCGGACGGGUGAGUAAUGUCUGGGAAACUGUCCGUUGGAGGGGGAUAACUACUGGAAACGGUAGCUAAUACCGCAUAUCAUCGGAUGUGCCCAGAUGUGAUUAGCUCGGAGGUGGGGUAACGGCUCACCUAGGCGACGAUCCCUAGCUGGUCUGAGAGGAUGAUCAGCCACACUGGAACUGAGACACGGUCCAGACUCCUACGGGAGGCAGCAGUGGGGAAUAUGGCACAAUGGGCGCAAGCCUGAUGCAGCCAUGCCGCGUGUAUGAAGAAGGCCUUCGGGUUGUAAAGUACUUUCAGCGAGGAGGCGUUACUCGCAGAAGAAGCACCGGCUAACUCCGUGCCAGCAGCCGCGGUAAUAC
rnacentral:rRNA from 1 species